AGCAGAAAGCUAAAGUUACCUAAACUCCACAUCUAAACUUACUUCAACUUCACUAAAAAACAUGUAUUUGAUCUUUUCUUUGCGGUUGAAUCUCUCUUAAUCAAUUAGUAGGUCCUUUUGCACCUCAUAGAUAGGAUUCAUACUAAUUAUAAUUUUCUGGUGAUUGUUUAGCUGAUCAAGAUGGAGGCUGAUAUCCUCCUAUCUCUGAAAUUUGAAAUGGGAAAUCUCAAUGUUGGUACAUCCUUGAGAAAAUUCAUUGAUCUUGCUCAAGGGAGUUACUACAAAGUUCUUAUUUUGCCAAGGGCAGAUCAUUGGAGUUCCUGUAGCUUUGCAUCUAUUCAAGGUUUAUAGAACAUACCUAAUGAGAAAAUUAGUAUAGUAGUUACUAUACUUUGUAAAUUUCUUUGUAGUUGAUUCUCCUUAGAUCGGAUCUUAAUUAGUAUACAUAUUGUAAUAGUGUAUUUUGGUAACUAAUAUAUUGCUUUUGGUGCUUUUAAGAAUGCUUGUGAUAUUUUUUUUUUGCAUGGUUUUCAACAU